rnacentral:rRNA from 1 species
CUAGCAUUCAAUAAGCGGAGGAAAAGAAACUAACAAGGAUUCCCUUAGUAACUGCGAGUGAAGAGGGAAAAGCUCAAAUUUAAAAUCUGGCAGUGUUUCACUGUCCGAGUUGUAACCUAGAGAAGUGUAACCUGCGCUGGACCGUGUAUAAGUCUCCUGGAAUGGAGCAUCACAGAGGGUGAGAAUCCCGUCUUUGACAUGGACCACCAGUGCAUUGUGGUUGUGCUCUCAACGAGUCGAGUUGUUUGGGAAUGCAGCUCUAAAUGGGUGGUAAAUUCCAUCUAAAGCUAAAUAUUGGCGAGAGACCGAUAGCGAACAAGUACCGUGAGGGAAAGAUGAAAAGAACUUUGGAAAGAGAGUUAAACAGUAUGUGAAAUUGUUGAAAGGGAAACGUUUGAAGUCAGUCGUGUUGGUUGGGGAUCAGCCUGACAUUUGUUGGGUUUACUUCCUGGUUGACGGGCCAACAUCAGUUUUGACUGCCAGAAAAAGGCUAAAGGAAUGUGGCACCUUUGGGUGUGUUAUAGCCCUUAGUUGUAUAUGGUGGUUGGGACUGAGGAAAGCAGCGUGCCGAAAGGCCGGGUUUCGACCACGUUCACGCUGAGGAUGUUGGCAUAAUGGCUUUAAGCGACCCGUCUUGAAACACGGACCAAGGAGUCUAACAUGCAUGCGAGUGUUUGGGUGGAAAACCCUUACGCGUAAUGAAAGUGAAAGUUGAGAUCCCUGUCGCGGGGAGCAUCGACGCCCGGACCAGAACUUUUGGGACGGAUCUGCGGUAGAGCACGUAUGUUGGGACCCGAAAGAUGGUGAACUAUGCCUGAAUAGGGUGAAGCCAGAGGAAACUCUGGUGGAGGCUCGUAGCGAUUCUGACGUGCAAAUCGAUCGUCAAAUUUGGGUAUAGGGGCGAAAGACUAAUCGAACCAUCUAGUAGCUGGUUCCUGCC